GGCCAAAAAUGAGGGAAAAAAUCAAAAUUUUAUACCAAAUUGACCAAGAAAGCUGAAAUUUGGGAUAAACCCUAUUUUCGACAUGCAAAAUCGAUUGGAAACUGUUUCAAUCGUUUUGAGCAGUUCUGGAGCCUCCAGCAGAUUUUUGAAACUCGAAAUUUCCCCAAAAUUUCAUCAAACGGAAAUAGAAAGUCGAAAUUCAUUCUGCAAACUAAUUUCAAUACGCUACCAAGUCGACUGCUGGUGGAUUUCAAGUCGUUUUGGAGCCUCCAGCGACUUUUUGAAAGGUCGUAUGGCGUUUUUUGGAAAAAUUGAAAUUUCCAAAAAGUAGCUGGAAGCUUGAAAACCAUUUGAAACCACCAUGUAGUCGACUUCAUAUCGCAUUGAAAUUAGUUUGCGAAGUAAAUAUUGAGGUCUAUGUAAAAAAAUAGGUGUAUUGUGUAAGAUUCAUGUACCAGGUGAUUUAUAUGUUAUGUACGUAAUGAUUUAUGUACAAAUAGUUCCCACGUAUUACAAUUCCCCUAAUCAGGUAAUUUUUCCGAGAAUUACCACCAAGAGUGUGAAGGCAUAUUACACCAUAUCAAAAUAUCAACUUUGAAGUAAAAUGAGCUCAGUGAUCAUUUCAUUUCCUCCUCAAUACAAUACUUAAAGCAAAGCACUUACUAAUAAUAUGGCUAUCAAAUGAGCUAUCGCGUACCAACCAACUUCCUAGCCCUAAGAGGGGUUGUGCUAGGACCUCUCAAAGUGAAAUGAUUUUAAUAAUAAUUUUACAUUUCAUGACUUGGCACUUGGAACCUGUUCUAAUUAAUCAAAUAAAGUCAAAUUUGGGGUGAGUUGGCCUUUGGAGUGGCGAGGUUCAAAGUUGAAAAAUGAAAAUUACAGAAAAGUCAUUUUUUUGGAGGAGCAUAGUAUGGCCUCAAAUGGAUGAAAAGGGUCCAAAAUCAUACAAUUGGUCAGUAUCUCCAUUGUGAUCAGCAUAUCGAAAUUUCAGCUUCCUAGAUCAUCCCCACCUCAUGUAAGGCGGAAUUACGGUGAAAACCCCCUUAUUUUACCCCUAUUUUGGAGGUUUUCCACCUUGAAAGGAGUGAUGAGGAUGAUCUGGAAAACUGAAAUUUGGAAAUGUUGAUUACAAUGGGGGUAUUGACCUUGGAAAAAAAUUUAAAAAGACAAUGGAAACGCAAAAUUAGAGGUUGCUAGAGUUUCUAAAAAUAGUCUAUACUAGAAUGAAUUGAGAAGUAAUCUCAACCCAGUAGGUACCUUCGUAAUUCUUCGAAAACAUUAUUACUUACAAUCUGCAUUCGUGGCGUUAAUUUAAAAUUAUAUUAGCGUGUUAAAUGUAAUAGGUAAGGAUAAGUAGGUACUCGUAUUUAGUAUUUUAAAAAGUAUAGGGUAAUUCAAACGAAUAAAAUUACCCUUUUUAUCGUUUAGAAUAAUUAAGAUUUUAAUUCUGUUUUGUAAUCAUCAACUCGGUAGGUAACUUGGCGUAAAAUUUUGAACGCAGAACUACAAUAGUAUAGGUAUAUUUACGCGCAUUCGUGUUCUUGUUUUUUACAAGCUAAAAGUCGACUCGGCAUCGUUACGAUGAAACGUAUUUUUAACAUUAUAUUUUUCUUUACUUUUGUUACAUUGUCAAUUAUGAUGAUGGGACUCCCUUACAACUUGGGCCAGGAGCCUACGAAGACGCCGAAAGAUGGCGAUAUAAUUAAUUCAACCGAAAUAAAACCUGGAAGCUGGGUAGACACGCUACAGUGGUUUACUUACCAAUGUAAGUGUCCUAACAGAUGCGGCCCAGCAAACAUAUCCCAAGUAUUGCGAAAUGAGGCCGGUCAUGGAAACACCUAUUUUGACGAAUAUUGUACUUACCAAACGUAUUGCAGAUGUCAGAGAUAUACAGUAAUUAGAGGACAAAGAAAUGCUUGCUUUCCAUGCCAUAAUACAGGUCCAAAACUCGACCCUGCAUAUGAUUAUGAGCAGAAAAUUCCUGAAAUUUAUAACCCCGAGCACUUCAGCUUUUAGCUAUUUAUACCAGCGAAUGUUAUGAAUUUACAAUUUACAAAGGGUAUUGACCCUACAUAAUUUAUAUUAUGGAUUAUGUAUUAUCUAUAAGUUCGCUCGAGUGGAUGGCGAAAAAAAUGUCACAGGGGUUUGGGCAAAUUCAGCGGGGAGACCUUAAGGGGAAAUUUAUUUGGAAAAAAUUUCAGCUCUGGAAGUGUCCUUGAAGGGAAGAUGUGGGUCCUAAAAGAAGGAGAAGUUUUGAAAAAAAAAUCAAGGUUUUUCGCUCCAGUUCCUACCUACCAAACCUAUUUUGGAAAAAAAUGACCCAGUUCCAAAAGAUCGUAGGUUCAUAGCCAUACUUAUUUGAUCCUGGCUUUCUGAGCCGAUCUAAGCCAUUGCCAUCAUAAACCUAUGCCACUGGGGGGAGGGGGUAGUGGGUCUAUAGCCAUUCAUAAUUUGCAAGUCGAUUAUUUUUGGGAAGAGCUUUAUUCUUUGAGAAGUGAAAACGCAGAUCUCACUUCCAUGGAUGACUUCCAUAGUUGGAAUUUUUUCUGAGUGACUUUCAUCUCAACUCACAAUGAAGGUCACAACUAAAUUUGCUCAGAAUACUCUUGAUUUUUUUUUUCACAAUCCAAUUUAAUGUUUAACUUAUUUUACACAGAGAUAAACCAUGUGCACUAUAAAUAUAAUUUUCUGAAAAAAAAUAUAUAUCAAUAUCUACUUUUGUAA